rnacentral:misc_RNA from 1 species
GGAGGGAAGCGGUGAUUCUAUAAGGUGAAUGGGGGUUCUAUUCUUUUCAAUAUUUUUCUACCUUUUGUGGAAAAAAUUCAACCUUUUCUUUUAAAAGGGGGUUGGUAUUUUGAUUAUUUCGUUAUUGAAUGCAGAUUUUUCUAGUAAUCAAGAUGGUGAAUGCGGUUUCUGAGUGUUUUGUAUAACGAAAUUGUGUAGUGAGAUUGUUCUUUAUUCUAAUUCUAACGAUUAGAGAAGUGAAAUUCUAGCCGCGGUAGAAAUGAACGUCGCGCUGCAUGUCUCCGUAUAAUUUUCUUUAAUUCUCGAUAGAAGGUGUUUCUGUGUCCGCUUAUGGUUUAGUUAUUGAUCUUAAGUAACUAGAUUUACUGUGUCACAAAGGUGAAAGGUCUGGUGCAGGUUAUUAGAUAGAUGUUACUCUUCCAAUGUUGAUAAAGUGAGCUGACAUAAGACACUUCUCAUUAGAGCGAACUCCAUACCUGAAGCUUUACCCAUACUUUUGGUGAGGUUUUUUUGGAUUAUGAGGGGAAUUGUGAUUGAAUGCAGUUGGUUACAAACAUUGAAGAUUAAAUUGGCGGUUAUUCCAUAAUGACUGUCAUCUGAGUUUAAUUACUAUUCUAAAAAUUAACGUUUGUAUUUGAGGCAUUGCACAAUUCUCAGCUGUAUUUACAUAUUAUUCAUAUCUUGAUUGGGAAGCUGGUUGUUGGAGCACAUUUUCCAAGGGCAUCAGUUUUAAUUAAUGCCAAGUCGUGAUUCUCCCUUUGGGCUGUUUCCAUUAUUCCAGAUCCAUUUUUAGAUGGCUCGGUUAUCUAGUCUCUAUGGUGAAAACUCCUCCAUAGCUAACUUCUAGCAAUCAUCUGUAAUGGAUUACCAUGUUAGAAGGAUUAUGUGCUUUCAAUGAAGGCCAAUAGCAUGCAGUUUCCAGUGAACCAAGGAGGAGAGCCUGAUAUUAAUCUGGAUUGAAGGUUUCUGUGAAAAUUACAGAUAUCUCUGGCUAUGGAUUAGGCAUGACAGAUAGGUAAAAGUGGUCAUUUUUGUUGAAUCAUAAACUCUCA